AUACGGAGGGUGCAAGCGUUACUCGGAAUCACUGGGCGUAAAGCGCGCGCAGGCGGCUAUUUAAGUUGGAUGUGAAAGCCUACGGCUCAACCGUAGAACUGCAUCCAAAACUAUUUAGCUAGAGUGUGGGAGAGGAAGAUGGAAUUAGUUGUGUAGGGGUAAAAUCCGUAGAGAUAACUAGGAAUACCAAAAGCGAAGGCGAUCUUCUGGAACAGUACUGACGCUGAGGCGCGAAAGCGUGGGGAGCAAACAGGAUUAGAAACCCUAGUAGUCC
rnacentral:rRNA from 1 species